GAGCUCAAGCGCGCAACUGUUGGUGGGAGGGAGUGGUGAGGACGGGGAGCUGAAAGAGGAACCGGCUUCUGUAAGAAGGCUCAGAAGUGCCACGGUGACCAGGAGUCCUGUACUCCUCUACAUUGCCAGAUCUGGAAGGAGCUGAGAGGGGCAGUUCCAGAGGUCCUGCCCACCCGAGACCUGGCGGCAAAGGUUUCACUGCUUCAGAGGCACUUGAGGUAGAUUCUGAAAAUGUUGGCGAUGAAAGGUGCUUUGGUUUGGUGCAGGAUCACCUGCGGCAUCGCGGAAGAGCGGCAGCUCGGCCUGGUAGACCCGGCUCCCCUCAGCCUCUCAUGGGUUCCUGCUCUUGGCUGAGCUUCAUCAGUGUCCUCACCUGUGGAGUGGGGCUGCCCAGUCCUGCU
rnacentral:lncRNA from 1 species